rnacentral:rRNA from 1 species
GACGCUGGCGGCAGGCCUAACACAUGCAAGUCGAACGCCCAGCAAUGGGAGUGGCAGACGGGAUAGUAACACGUGGGAACGCGCCCUUCGGUUCGGAAUAACUCAGGGAAACUUGAGCUAAUACCGGAUACGCCCUUACGGGGAAAGAUUUAUUGCCGAAGGAACGGCCCGCGUCGGAUUAGCUAGUUGGUGAGGUAAUGGCUCACCAAGGCGACGAUCCGUAGCUGGUCUGAGAGGAUGACCAGCAUCACUGGGACUGAGACACGGCCCAGACUCCUACGGGAGGCAGCAGUGGGGAAUAUUGGACAAUGGGCGCAAGCCUGAUCCAGCCAUGCCGCGUGGAUGAUGAAGGCCCUAGGGUUGUAAAGUCCUUUUAACGGGGAAGAUAAUGACGGUACCCGUAGAAUAAGCCCCGGCUAACUUCGUGCCAGCAGCCGCGGUAAUACGAAGGGGGCUAGCGUUGCUCGGAAUUACUGGGCGUAAAGCGCACGUAGGCGGGUCGAUAAGUCGGGGGUGAAAUCCUGGAGCUCAACUCCAGAACUGCCUUCGAAACUGUCGAUCUUGAGUUCGGGAGAGGUGAGUGGAACUGCGAGUGUAGAGGUGAAAUUCGUAGAUAUUCGCAAGAACACCAGUGGCGAAGGCGGCUCACUGGCCCGAUAC